GUGGAUGGUGUUCUGAGGU
rnacentral:misc_RNA from 1 species